rnacentral:miRNA from 1 species
GAGUGGAGAUGAGACUGAGAGGGAAGAUGAGAGGGUAGGAUGGUAGAGAGGAGUAACAAAAGUGAAAAGAAAAACUAAAAACUGAAAUAUAUUUCAAAUUGUUUUCACUUUCAAGUUUUUGUUGUCACUUUUCUUACUCCUCCCUCACAUCCUUCA